rnacentral:lncRNA from 1 species
GGAAGAAAAAAAGAAAAAAGAGAAAGAGAAAGAAAACAAAAGAAAGGGAAAAAAGGGUGUGGGAGGCAAACAAAUCAAAAAAAAAAAAAGAAAGAAAAAGAAAAAAGGAAAAAAAGAAAAAAACAAAAACCACGGGGGAGUAUCCUCCGAUUCUGUAUACUUUAAGUCCCUUGACUUCCCUUGGAAGUGGUUCGUCUCCUUGGUCUUCUGGGGGAGGGGCCUGCUGUGCUGAUUCUCAGGUGUUAGCACUUGGGGGAGCUGCUCUGCCCCUGCCUGGUGCAGGGCUCGGUGGGGGUUGUUCACCCCGUGAGGCCCCGGGAGGAAGCCACAGUGGCGGGGCCAGCUCUGCAGCCCUGGAGUCAGCUCCCGCAGUAACUCCGGGGCUCUGCAUCUGCAGGGCCUGGGGGCUCCCGGGCGGGCCGCUGAUCUGCUCAGCUCGGGGCAGGAGCGUCCUCACUGUCCUGGGCCCUCCCGGCCUCUGCCUGUCCCGGGGGAGGCCGGAUCCUGGGCUGUGUCCCGGCGCCCUGUGCUCUGGGGCCUGCGCUGUUGGAUUCGCGCUCCCGCCCCGCAGCCCCCUCCGCGGAGCCGCCGCCCGAGCCCCUCCGAGCUGCUCCGGGUCCCGCCGAGCGCUGCAGCCCUUAGGGAGCUCGGAGCAUCUCCCGGGGCGCAGGUGCCUGUUACUGUCCCUGGGAGCCCGAGGGCAUCCCCGCCCUCCUGGGUCCUGCUCUAACCCCCUGCGGGCCCCUUUCCGCCCGGGAAGGUCGGUGCAGCUCCUGCUCCUCCGGGACGGGGCUCUCCUGUCCUGGGGACACUCGCCCCGGCCUCAGCCCGGCUCCUCGCGGGGCCCCUCCCCCUCGGAGGCCUUUUGUGUCUUUAUUUCUUUUUUCCCGUCUUCCUACCUUGAUAGAAGCGCAAACUCUUCUCACUGUAGCGUUCCAGCUGGUCUCUCUUUAAAUCUCAGGCCGAAUUCGUAGAUUUUCAGGAUGAUUUGAAGGUUAUCUAUGUAAUUUGUUGGGGACAGGUGACUUGGGGACCCUAAUCUUCCGUCAUCUCGCCCCUCCUCCUUUCUUCAGAAACUCUGACCUAAUUUGUAUCAGAUUUAUGUUUUCU